rnacentral:rRNA from 1 species
AUGAACGCUAGCGACAGGCUUAACACAUGCAAGUCGAGGGGCAGCACAGGUAGCAAUACCGGGUGGCGACCGGCGCACGGGUGAGUAACGCGUAUGCAACUUGCCUAUCAGAGGGGGAUAACCCGGCGAAAGUCGGACUAAUACCGCAUGAAGCAGGGGCCCCGCAUGGGGAUAUUUGCUAAAGAUUCAUCGCUGAUAGAUAGGCAUGCGUUCCAUUAGGCAGUUGGCGGGGUAACGGCCCACCAAACCGACGAUGGAUAGGGGUUCUGAGAGGAAGGUCCCCCACAUUGGUACUGAGACACGGACCAAACUCCUACGGGAGGCAGCAGUGAGGAAUAUUGGUCAAUGGCCGAGAGGCUGAACCAGCCAAGUCGCGUGAGGGAUGAAGGUUCUAUGGAUCGUAAACCUCUUUUAUAAGGGAAUAAAGUGCGGGACGUGUCCCGUUUUGUAUGUACCUUAUGAAUAAGGAUCGGCUAACUCCGUGCCAGCAGCCGCGGUAAUACGGAGGAUCCGAGCGUUAUCCGGAUUUAUUGGGUUUAAAGGGUGCGUAGGCGGCCUUUUAAGUCAGCGGUGAAAGUCUGUGGCUCAACCAUAGAAUUGCCGUUGAAACUGGGGGGCUUGAGUAUGUUUGAGGCAGGCGGAAUGCGUGGUGUAGCGGUGAAAUGCAUAGAUAUCACGCAGAACCCCGAUUGCGAAGGCAGCCUGCCAAGCCAUUACUGACGCUGAUGCACGAAAGCGUGGGGAUCAAACAGGAUUAGAUACCCUGGUAGUCCACGCAGUAAACGAUGAUCACUAGCUGUUUGCGAUACACUGUAAGCGGCACAGCGAAAGCGUUAAGUGAUCCACCUGGGGAGUACGCCGGCAACGGUGAAACUCAAAGGAAUUGACGGGGGCCCGCACAAGCGGAGGAACAUGUGGUUUAAUUCGAUGAUACGCGAGGAACCUUACCCGGGUUUGAACGCAUUCGGACCGAGGUGGAAACACCUUUUCUAGCAAUAGCCGUUUGCGAGGUGCUGCAUGGUUGUCGUCAGCUCGUGCCGUGAGGUGUCGGCUUAAGUGCCAUAACGAGCGCAACCCUUGCCACUAGUUACUAACAGGUAAAGCUGAGGACUCUGGUGGGACUGCCAGCGUAAGCUGCGAGGAAGGCGGGGAUGACGUCAAAUCAGCACGGCCCUUACAUCCGGGGCGACACACGUGUUACAAUGGCGUGGACAAAGGGAGGCCACCUGGCGACAGGGAGCGAAUCCCCAAACCACGUCUCAGUUCGGAUCGGAGUCUGCAACCCGACUCCGUGAAGCUGGAUUCGCUAGUAAUCGCGCAUCAGCCAUGGCGCGGUGAAUACGUUCCCGGGCCUUGUACACACCGCCCGUCACACCAUGGGAGUCGGGAAUGCCCGAAGCCGGUGACCUAACCUACGGGAAGGAGCCGUCGAAGGCAGAUUCGAUAACUGGGGUG